rnacentral:rRNA from 1 species
AUAACAAUACAGGACUCUUUAGAGGCCCUGUAAUUGUAAUGAGUCCACGUGAAAUCCUUUAACCCUGAUCAAUUGGAGGGCAAGUCUGGUGCAGAGCGACUGACCCAUGUGUGCUGCAGCUGAAACUCCACUAUCGCCUGCUGCUGCUCGCACCGUCUCUAU